CGGGUGUCGAGCAGCAAGUUCCGCUCUGAGACUGAGCAGUCUUGAAGGUUUCUGUGUGAUGUACUCUGAACUCUGCUACUGGGUACUGUGAGGGACGCUCUGAAGUCGCGACAUGGAUGCAGUGACCUACGAUGAAGUGCAUGUGAACUUCACUCAGGAAGAGUGGGCUUUGCUGGAUCAUUCCCAGAAAAGUCUCUACAGAGAUGUGAUGCUGGAGACUUACAAGAACCUGACUGCUAUAGGCUACAACUGGGACGACCAUAAUAUUGAAGAACAUUGUCAAAGUUCCAGAAGACAUGGAAGCAGGUCAGCAUUUUCUAAAUCUCCCCCAAAUACUACCAACUGAAAAGGAUUGACUUUUCUGACUUCAAGCUUACAUGCUGGCUUUCUGUUACACGAGCCAAUUCAUGAUGAAGAGAAACUCUAGCCUUGAAGGAAGGAUAUUAUAGAAGGGACUACUGGGACAAUUGAUGUUGGUUAGCUGGAGCUAAGAAAUUAGCAGUGAUUAAGAAGAGACCGGAAUCAUUGAGGAGAAUGUUCUCUCUGCCAAGGUCAGUGACUCCAUGAUAAUUAGAAAUGGCAUGAUUCCAGGAAGCAAAAAUGUCUCUGGUGAUCCUCACCAAUAUGGUGAUACUGUGACCUUCAGGACCCCUUAAGACUGUGGGAAAGAACUCUG
rnacentral:lncRNA from 1 species